AUGGAGGGGCUCGACGUCGACGACGUCUUCCACCACUACCGGCUGAGCCCUACGGAAGUGGAGGCCGUCACCUACUACCUGCCACGCCUCCUCUCCGGCGAGACGCUGCAUGCCGUCGACAAGCUCAUCCACCACGUCGACAUCACCGGCUGCGAGCCCAAGGAUCUGGCCGCCCGAUACGCGCCCGUGCCGCAGGCCAUGAGCAGCGGCGACCGGUUCUUCUUCACCACGUGCAAGAGCAAGAACGGGAGCAAGCUCCAGAGCGUGCGCAGCGCCGGCGGCGGCACCUGGAGCAUCCAGAAAACCUCGGAGAUUAGCCACGCGGGAGUCAAGGUCGGCGAGGUCAAGAACCUGUCCUUCAAGAAGAAGGGCAAGUCGACAGGCUGGGUCAUGGAGGAAUACCGGUGCCUGCUGCCGGAGGCCACCGUCUCC
rnacentral:rRNA from 1 species